UUUAAUAAACCGCCUAUCCUUAUUUAUUCGACAGUAACAAGGAGCAGCUUGCUCCUUAGAUAACGAGUGGCCGAUUGGUAAGUAUGUCUGGGAUCUGCCUGAUGGAGGGGCAUUCUUAAAGGAAACGAUGGCGAAUACCGCAUAACGUCACAUGACCAGAGAGGGGGACCUUCGGGCCUAUUGCAUUCCCAUGUGUCCAUAUGGGAUUAGCUUGUUGGUGAGGUAACGGCUCACCUAAGCGACGAUCCCUAGCUGGUCUGAGAGGAUGACCAGCCACACUGGUACUGAGACACGGUCCAUACUCCUACGGGAGGUAGCAGUGGGGAAUAUUGGACAAUGGGCGCUAGCCUGAUGCAGCCAUGCCGCGUGUAUGAUGAAGGCCUUCGGGUUGUAAAGUACUUUCAGCGGGGAGGAAGGUGUUGUGGUUAAUAACCGCAGCAAUUGACGUUACCCGCAGAAGAAGCACCGGCUAACUCCGUGCCAGCAGCCGCGGUAAUACGGAGGGUGCAAGCGUUAAUCGGAAUUACUGGGCGUAAAGCGCACGCAGGCGGUCUGUCAAGUCGGAUGUGAAAUCCCCGGGCUCAACCUGGGAACUGCAUUCGAAACUGGCAGGCUUGAGUCUUGGAGAGGGGGGUAGAAUUCCAGGUGUAGCGGUGAAAUGCGUAGAGAUCGGGAGGAAUACCGGUGGCGAACGCCGCCCCCUGGACAAAAACUGGAGCUCAGGUGCGUUAGCGUGGGGAGCAAUCUGGAUUAGAUACCCCUGGUUUUCCACGCCGUAAACCAUUCCUACUUGGAGGGUUGUGCCCCUUGAUGCGUGGCUUUCCGGACCUUACGCGUUUAAUUAUACCCGCCCUGGGGGAGUACGGCCGGCAAGGUUAAAAACUCAAAUGGAUUUGACGGGGGGCCCACCCCAUGCGGUGGUACCAUGUGGUUUUUAUUCCGAUGCAACGGCGAAAUACCCUUACCUGGGUCCUUGACAUCCACAGAAGUUUCCAAAAUUUAAAUAAUGGUGCCCUCCGGAAACAUUUAAGAAAAGGUGGCUGCUGGCUUGUCGUCCAACCUCCGGGUUGUGGAAUAGGUUCUGAGUUAAUCCCCCCUACCCGAACCGCCAACCCCUUUAUCCCUUUUGUUGCCAACCGAAUGUAUGUGCCGGGUAUACCUCAUAGGAAGACCUGCCCGCGAGUGUGUAACAUAACCUGGAUGAGGUAUGGGUGAUGAGGAAAAUAAUACGCUCUCCCCCAAGCUUUCUCUUGUCAUG
rnacentral:rRNA from 1 species